CACGUAGGGCGCAAGCGUUGUCCGGAAUUAUUGGGCGUAAAGAGCUCGUAGGCGGCUCGGUAAGUCAGGUGUGAAACCUCCAGGCUCAACCUGGAGACGCCACCUGAUACUGCUGUGGCUAGAGUCCGGUAGGGGAGCGUGGAAUUCCUGGUGUAGCGGUGAAAUGCGCAGAUAUCAGGAGGAACACCAGCGGCGAAGGCGGCGCUCUGGGCCGGAACUGACGCUGAGGAGCGAAAGCGUGGGUAGCAAACAGG
rnacentral:rRNA from 1 species